CCUCCCCCAAAGCCUCCAGCGGCUGUCUCAUUGACAGUCGCUUGAGGCGCUUGCGUGAUUCUCACUGUGAAAAUCACAGUGAGAGCACGCAAGCGUCCAUAGGAAAGCAUUGAUAAUGCUUUCCUAUGCGACCGGCUAAAUGUGCGCGCAGCUCUUGCCGCGCGUGCGCAUUCAGCCGACGGGAAGGAACGGAGGAGGAUCGGAGGUGGAGAGCUCCCCGCCCAGCGCUGGAAAAAGGUAAGUUUUACCCCUUUUCCCCUUUCCAGAGCCGGGUGGGAGGGGGACCCUGAGGGUGGGGGCACCCUCAGGGUAUGUUUUCCUGGCACUAUAGUGGUCCUUUAACUGAAUAAGAACAGAAUAGCUUCCCUAGAGGUCUUUCCCACUUAGACCUCUUCAAUAUCAGAAGUGUAGAAAAAAAAGGAAAAAGGGAUGCAGCUAAGAACUAAAAUAAAAAGGAGAACAAACAACACAGUGAUGUACAGUUGGAUUAGAUAACACACUGCAAUAAUGGUUGCACUCACAAGAUGUAAAUGAGAUAUGUGCCUUGAAAUCCACUAAGGGAUAUUGCUGGACCGCUUCCACUGGACCUGUUGAUAACACCGGCUGAUGUGUGUAAUUGACAGUGUAAAUUUUUGCGGGUUCGUACGGCUUGCGUUCCACCGGACCGUGUAUGCAUUCCACCUCCUUCUUCCGGUUUUGCGUGUCACUUCCGAUUUCGGUUGAAACGUCCUGAACGUCUAUGCGUUCCAACUAUGAAUUUAUAAGCAUUCCAUAGUGAGCUUUGAUGCUCGGAGAAUA